rnacentral:rRNA from 1 species
AGUGGACGCUGGCGGUAGGCCUAACACAUGCAAGUCGAACGGCAGCACAGUAAGAGCUUGCUCUUACGGGUGGCGAGUGGCGGACGGGUGAGGAAUACAUCGGAAUCUACUUUUUCGUGGGGGAUAACGUAGGGAAACUUACGCUAAUACCGCAUACGACCUACGGGUGAAAGCAGGGGAUCUUCGGACCUUGCGCGAUUGAAUGAGCCGAUGUCGGAUUAGCUAGUUGGCGGGGUAAAGGCCCACCAAGGCGACGAUCCGUAGCUGGUCUGAGAGGAUGAUCAGCCACACUGGAACUGAGACGCGGUCCAGACUCCUACGGGAGGCAGCAGUGGGGAAUAUUGGACAAUGGGCGCAAGCCUGAUCCAGCCAUCCCGCGUGGGUGAAGAAGGCCUUCGGGUUGUAAAGCCCUUUUGUUGGGAAAGAAAAGCAGCAGGUUAAUACCCCGCUGUUCUGACGGUACCCAAAGAAUAAGCACCGGCUAACUUCGUG